GACGAACGCUGGCGGCGUGCUUAACACAUGCAAGUCGAACGGUAAGGCCCUUCGGGGUACACGAGUGGCGAACGGGUGAGUAACACGUGGUGAUCUGCCCUGCACUUUGGGAUAAGCCUGGGAAACUGGGUCUAAUACCGAAUAUGACCAUGGACUUCACGGUUUGUGGUGGAAAGCUUUUGCGGUGUGGGAUGGGCCCGCGGCCUAUCAGCUUGUUGGUGGGGUAAUGGCCUACCAAGGCGACGACGGGUAGCCGGCCUGAGAGGGUGACCGGCCACACUGGGACUGAGAUACGGCCCAGACUCCUACGGGAGGCAGCAGUGGGGAAUAUUGCACAAUGGGCGGCAAGCCUGAUGCAGCGAC
rnacentral:rRNA from 1 species